GCAAGUCGAGCGGAACGAUCCUAGCUUGCUAGGAGGCGUCGAGCGGCGGACGGGUGAGUAAUGCAUAGGAAUCUGCCCGGUAGUGGGGGAUAACCUGGGGAAACCCAGGCUAAUACCGCAUACGCCCUACGGGGGAAAGCAGGGGAUCUUCGGACCUUGCGCUAUCGGAUGAGCCUAUGUCGGAUUAGCUAGUUGGUGAGGUAACGGCUCACCAAGGCUGCGAUCCGUAGCUGGUCUGAGAGGAUGAUCAGCCACAUCGGGACUGAGACACGGCCCGAACUCCUACGGGAGGCAGCAGUGGGGAAUAUUGGACAAUGGGCGAAAGCCUGAUCCAGCCAUGCCGCGUGUGUGAAGAAGGCCUUCGGGUUGUAAAGCACUUUCAGUGAGGAAGAAAGCCUUGAGGUUAAUACCCUCGAGGGAGGACAUCACUCACAGAAGAAGCACCGGCUAACUCCGUGCCAGCAGCCGCGGUAAUACGGAGGGUGCGAGCGUUAAUCGGAAUUACUGGGCGUAAAGCGCGCGUAGGCGGCUUGAUAAGCCGGUUGUGAAAGCCCCGGGCUCAACCUGGGAACGGCAUCCGGAACUGUCAGGCUAGAGUGCAGGAGAGGAAGGUAGAAUUCCCGGUGUAGCGGUGAAAUGCGUAGAGAUCGGGAGGAAUACCAGUGGCGAAGGCGGCCUUCUGGACUGACACUGACGCUGAGGUGCGAAAGCGUGGGUAGCAAACAGGAUUAGAUACCCUGGUAGUCCACGCCGUAAACGAUGUCGACUAGCCGUUGGGCUCCUUGAGAGCUUUGUGGCGCAGUUAACGCGAUAAGUCGACCGCCUGGGGAGUACGGCCGCAAGGUUAAAACUCAAAUGAAUUGACGGGGGCCCGCACAAGCGGUGGAGCAUGUGGUUUAAUUCGAUGCAACGCGAAGAACCUUACCUACUCCUUGACAUCGA
rnacentral:rRNA from 1 species